CGCAUCUGUGCAUGCAGCAUAUCAAUAAGCGGAGGAAAAGAAACUAACAAGGAUUCCCCUAGUAACGGCGAGUGAAGCGGGAAGAGCUCAAAUUUGAAAUCUUAAAGGGUUUCCCUUUACGAAUUGUAGUUUAAAGAAGUGUUUUCUGUUGAGGUUUUGGUAAAAGUUCUUUGGAAUAGGACAUCAUAGAGGGUGAGAAUCCCGUAUUUGACCUUUACUUUCAACUUUGUGAUACACUUUCAAAGAGUCGGAUUGUUUGGGAAUGCAGUCCAAAAUGGGUGGUAAAUUUCAUCUAAAGCUAAAUAUUGGCGAGAGACCGAUAGCGAACAAGUACCGUGAGGGAAAGAUGAAAAGAACUUUGAAAAGAGAGUUAAACAGUACGUGAAAUUGUCAAAAGGGAAGCGUUUGACACCAGUGUUGUUUUUCUGAAAAUCAAUUAAAGAACUGUUUAUGCUAAGCUGUUUAGACUUUAUCAGCUAAUCUGUUUAGUUUUGAGCUUUUCUUUAAUGCACUUUUCAGUUAACAAGUCAACAUCAAUUUCUUUUGCUGUAAAAAAGCUUGAGGAAGGUGGCUUGAGAUUCGUCUUAAGUGUUUAUAGCCUCUUGCCUAUGCAGUCGGAGAGAUUGAGGUCUGCAGCGUAGAUCCUUCGGGGCUAAAUGCAUUUGUGCUAAGUUAUAACAUUUUAUAGACAACUUGUUGACUAUGAUUUGUCUUGUAGCUUACUCGCUUAUGUUAUUUUACCUACGCUUAGGAUGUUGAGCGCAUGUCUCUCUCU
rnacentral:rRNA from 1 species